rnacentral:rRNA from 1 species
AUUUAAUAAAAUUAUUAAAUGGAUAACUAUGGAAAUACUAAGGCUAAUACAUGUUAAAUUUUUGGUAGAAAAAGUAAUGAUUAAGAAUGAAAGAAAUAAGUGUAUGUUUGAAUAUAAUAGUAUGUUGAGUUAUUUUAAUUAAAUGAAUUAUAAAAAGUAAUAAGUUAAUUAUGUUUUUGACCUAUCAGCUUUAAUAAUAAGAUAUUGGCUUAAAAUAGUAGUGACGGGUAACGGAGGAUUAAAGUUUGGUUCUGGAGAAGGAGCUUGAGAAACAGCUACUACAUCUAAGGAAGGCAGCAGGCGCGUAAAUUAUCCAAUUUUUAUAAAAAGAGGUAGUGAUUAGGAAUAACAAUACAAAGUACAAAAGUUAUUUUGUAAUUGGAAUGAGAUAAAUACAAAGAUUUUAUUAAAUUUUAAUUAAAGGGCAAGUCUGGUGCCAGCAGCCGCGGUAAUUCCAGUUUUAAUAAUAUAUAUUAAUAUUGUUGCAGUUAAAAAGCUCGUAGUUGCAAUUAUGAUAAUAAUAAAUGAUUUUAUUUUAUGUAAAAUUUAUUUUAUAAUUAUUAGAAUAAUUUAAAAAAUUAUAUAUGUUUGUAUAGAAAGUUUUAAAAAUUUAUUUUGAAGAAAUUAGAGUGUUUUAAGCGGGAGUUUUUAAUUGAAUAAUGGAGUAUGGAAUAUUUUGAUUAUAAUAUAAUUUUUUUGUUGGUUUUAAAAUGUUGGUUAAUAAUUUUUAAAAAUAGUUGGGGGUAUUUGUAUUUAACUGCAAGAGGUGAAAUUCUUGGAUUUGUUGACGGUAAAUUAUUGCGAAAGCAUUUAUUAAGAAUAUUUUUUUUUAAUUAAGAACAAAAGUUAAGGGAUCGAAGAUGAUCAGAUACCGUCGUAGUCUUAAUUAUAAACUAUGCCAAUUAGAGAUUAGAUGUGAUUGAUUGUAUGAUUUAUUUGGUGUUUUUUAGAGAAAUCAAAGUUUUUAGGUUUUGGGGGAAGUAUGGUUGCAAGAUUGAAACUUAAAGGAAUUGACGGAAAGGCACCACCAGAAGUGGAGUAUGCGGUUUAAUUUGACUCAACACAGUAAAUUUUAUUAGGUCCAGACAUAAGAAGGAUUGAUAGAUUAAUAGUUUUUUUUUGAUUUUAUGGGUAGUGGUGCAUGGCCGUUCUUAGUUGGUGGAGUAAUUUGUCUGGUUAAUUCCGUUAACGAACAAGACUUUAAUUUAUUAAAUAGAAAAAUAAUUGAUGAAAUAAUUUUAGUUUUAUUGUUUUUAAAUAGAUUUUAUAUACAUAAUAUAAGGAAGUUUAAAGUAAUAACAGGUCUGUAAUGCCCUUAGAUGUUCUAGGCUACACGCGUGCUACAUUAUUGUGAUUAAAUAGUUUAUAGUUUUAAUUGUUAAAUUUUAGUAAUCUAAAAAAUAACAUUGUAAUUGGGAUAGUGUAUUGAAAUUAUUAUUCUUAAACGAGGAAUUUCUAGUAAAUACAAGUCAAAAACUUGUAUUGAUUAUGUCCCUGCCUUUUGUACACACCGCCCGUCGCUCCUACUGAUUGAAUGAACCGGUGAAUAAAUUGGAAUAUAUGUAAAUAAAAAUUAGAUUUCAUGUAUUAGAAAAUUUUUAAAUCUU